UACGAAGGGUGCAAGCGUUAAUUGGAAUUACUGGGCGUAAAGGGUGCGUAGGUGGUCUGUUAAGUUGGAUGUGAAAGCCCCCGGGCUCAACCUGGGAAUGGCAUCCAAAACUGGCAGGCUGGAGUGCGGUAGAGGAUGGUGGAAUUCCCGGUGUAGCGGUGAAAUGCGUAGAGAUCGGGAGGAACAUCGAUGGCGAAGGCAGCCAUCUGGACCAGCACUGACGCUGAGGCACGAAAGCGUGGGGAGCAAACAGGAUUAGAUA
rnacentral:rRNA from 1 species